AUACAUAGGGGGCUAGCUUUGUCCGGAAUUACUGGGCGUAAAGGGUGCGUAGGUGGUAGUGUAUGUUGGAAGUGUAAUCCCUCGGGCUUAACUCAGGGGCUGCUUCCAAAACUACAUUGCUUGAGUAUCGGAGAGGAAAACGGAAUUCCUAGUGUAGCGGUGAAAUGCGUAGAUAUUAGGAGGAACACCAGAGGCGAAGGCGGUUUUCUGGACGAUAACUGACACUGAGGCACGAAAGCGUGGGGAGCGAUUGGGAUUAGAUACCCCAGUAGUCCACGCUGUAAAUGAUGGGUACUUGACGUUGGGAGUAUCAACUCUUCCAGUGUCGUAGCUAACGCAUUAAGUACCCCGCCUGGGGAGUACGAUCGCAAGGUUGAA
rnacentral:rRNA from 1 species